UACGUAGGGUGCGAGCGUUGUCCGGAAUUACUGGGCGUAAAGAGCUCGUAGGCGGUUUGUCGCGUCUGCUGUGAAAUUUCGGGGCUCAACCUCGAACUUGCAGUGGGUACGGGCAGACUAGAGUGUGGUAGGGGAGACUGGAAUUCCUGGUGUAGCGGUGAAAUGCGCAGAUAUCAGGAGGAACACCGAUGGCGAAGGCAGGUCUCUGGGCCACUACUGACGCUGAGAAGCGAAAGCAUGGGGAGCGAACAGG
rnacentral:rRNA from 1 species